GACGAUCUUCCUCAACCCUUUUCUCCCUGCCUUCUCCGCCUGUCUGCCGGCCAGCGUCUCCCAGGCCCCGUUUGUGUCUUCUUUUCCUUCCUGUACAUCCUUCCACUGGCUUCUCAUUCGCCGGCGCCGACCCGCUGACACUCUGCCUUCAACAUGCCCCCACCCUCAGCCACGCGUGCGCCUACAGACGACACCUACACCGAAUACUCCUUUUCUCCCAUCGAUAUCCACGAGCCCUAUGCGCCUCAUCACCAGCGAAGGGAUUCUGGCAAGGUCGGCGCCCAGCUGCACGGCUCCAUCGUUGAAUUCGACUCCAGCACGCCACCUGCCAUCGGCGUGCCGAACAGCUACUCGCUGCCGCUGUCGUGGCACAGGCUUAGCUACAGCGUUGGCAAGAAGCGCAUCCUGUGCGGGCUGACGGGGACGGCGCUGCCCGGGCGAUGCCUCGCAAUCCUCGGGUCGUCCGGUGCCGGCAAGACAACGUUCCUGAACGCGAUCUGCGACCGACUAGCGUCUGGCGGUGAGCUGAAGCUGAGCGGGAGGCGCCAGCUGGGCGACUGUGAGUUCGAGCGGCACUUUCGCAAGGCGAUGGGGUUCGUGGCGCAGGACGACAUCAUCUCGCCGCUGUCGACGCCGUACGACGCGCUGUGGUUCUCGCUGCGCACGCGGCGCGGGACGGGCCGUGCGGAGACGGAGGAGCGUGUGCAGGAGAUGCUGAGUGUCCUGCGGUUGCGGCACUGCCGCGGCACGAAGGUCGGCAUUCCCGGCCUGGAGGCUGGGCUGUCUGGUGGGGAGCGCAAGCGGUGCAGCAUCGGGAUCGAGCUGAUCUGCGACCCGAAGAUCCUGCUGCUUGAUGAGCCGACGUCUGGGCUGGACUCCGUGACGUCCGCGAAGGUGGUGCACCUGCUGCGCCAGCUGUCGCGGACCGGCCGCACUGUGAUCUACACGAUCCAUCAGCCGACUGCGGAGGUGCUGUCGUACUUCGACGACGUGAUGCUGAUGACGCAGGGCCGCAUUGCGUACCACGGGACGAUGGCUGCGUCGCUGGACUACUUCGAGUCCAUCGGGUUCCCGUGCCCGAGCAAGUACACGCCGACGGACUACUACAUGGUGCUGCUGCAGGACAGCGUGACGAGCAAGGUCCUGAUCAAGCGCUGGCGCAAGUACCUGAAGAACGGACCUCGCACGCCGCACACUGCCGCUGUGCGUUUCGCGAGGAGCCGCAGUGAGUCGUCUGCUGCACGGUUCUUGGAUGCAUACAUUGUGAAGUUCGGCAGCUCGCCGGCUGUGCAGUUGUACGAGCUGACGCGGCGCACGAUGAUGGAGAUCUCGCGCGACUCCCUGUAUCUGUUCUCGUACACGGCGCAGGCGAUCUUCUUCGCCGUUGUUGUGGGCCUGAUCUUCUUGAAUGUGCGGGCCAACGUAGAGGGAAUUCAGGAUCGCCAAGGCGUGCUGUUCAUGACCGUGAUGAACCGCGCGAUGAGCUCCACGUUCAUCAUGAUCAAUACGUUCAACAAUGUGCGUGCCGUGUUCAUGCGUGAGCAGCAAGCUGGUGCGUACUCGCCGCUGAUGUUCUUCCUUGGCCGUAGUUUCGCCGAGUUUCCCGUGCAGAUUUUUGCAGUGCUGGUAGAGAGCUGCAUCCUCUACUGGAUGGUGGGGCUGCAUCGUCAUCCCGGCUCCUUCUUCUACUACUUUGGUGUGAUUGCGUUGCUGUCGCAGGUGGCAACUGGUCUGGGCUUCGCGAUCUCCACCUCGUGCCCGUCGCUUGUGGUGAGCUCUGCCAUGGCGCCGCUGAUCUUGAUUCCGCUGGCUCUAGGCGGUGGUCUGUUCGCAAGCACGGACCGUCUGCGCCCGUACUGGUACUGGUUGGAGAAGCCGUCCUUCAUGCGCCACGCGUACAUCCUCGUGCUGCGCAAUGAGCUGCACAAUGUUCCCCACAUUGCGUGCGACUACUACCGCUGGGGCGACGGGUACUGCAUCAACCAGCCGCGUGACGGACGCACGGUGAUGCGUCUGCUUGGGUUUGAUGGUGAUGCGCAGUCGGCGAGCGUGUACAUGUGGGUUUCGCUUGUGAUUAUGUUCUUCCUGCUCCGCACUAUCAGCGUGAUCGCGCUCGCUGUGGCGGGCCGCAGGAGAACGGCAUGAGCACUGAGGUGGAAAUUCUGACUUUGGUGGAGCUUCUUACUUUUUGUUUUCCGGCGCAUGUGCCAUGAGCUAUCCAUGACGUCUCGCGUGCAUGAGCAGCGCAUCUGGGCAGCUGUGAUGAGGUGAUGUGUAUGAACAUGUGCGUGUGUGUGUCCGCGAUGCACGGACGUGCGCCUCCAGUCUCAUCCGAUUUUUCUUGUUUUUCUUCUGUGCGCGUCGGUGUGGGCGUGCGUGCGCUUCUCUUCUAUGUUUCUCUGUCUCGUGUCGGCGUGCAGUUGACACGCGCUUUCACUGCCCGUGUGCGCUGGCUCGCGUUCCUUCCGUUUGUGGUGCGUUGAUACAUGGCCGGGGCUCACUGUAGCAUCAUAGACCGCUGUGUCUGUCUGCCUGUCUCUAUGUGUGCGUGCGCGUGCGCCUGAUGACGCGGCGGUAUCAGUCGCAGAAGAGUUAGGGGGAGGGGUAAGUGAGUAGAGCAUCAGAGGUAGAUGGAAUCCAUGAAGGGAGGGGGUGCAGGCGAGGAGGCGGAAGAUGGGCGUAGAGAGCGGCCGGCACGGCGGGGGCAUUGCCGUUGUCAGUGCUGUGGAUGGCAGUGUCACAUCAUGUGCACGAUUCGUUCGUGCCGUUUUUUUUUUGCUUUUCGUCUUGACUUCGUCAUUGUUCUGCGUGUUUGCCUCAGCAGCGUUUUCGUUUUUGUGUGUCUCACGCUCUCACUCUCUCUCGCAUCGAGUGCUGCUGAUGUGUGCCGCUCUGGCUCUCCACCGCCAUCCGUUUCCGGCGUCCACACCCACGCAGGCGUGUAUUUUUUUUGGUUUGAAAGAGGGACUUUGAGGGCUCGGAGCAGGAGGGCGACUUGUGGGUGUGGUGGCUGCUGCCACUGCGAGUACCCUUAUAUCCGCUGAUGUUGUUCACGGGGACGGUAUGCCCCGUUGCAAGAUACGGGCACAGAGGAGCGGAGUACAAGACUGAUGGUGAGAAAAACAGACUACGCCUCUCUCUCUCGCCUCUCUCGCCCGCUUCCCCUCACCGGCAUCUACGCCACCGUCGUCUGCAGACACAUGCACGUGCCGACGGGUGGAUGUUAGCGCACUGCUGCCACUCCGCUGCGCCGACAGACCCUUUCGUGUGUUUCGCUGUGUGUGCGCCAGUGUGGCCUCUCGUCUUUCCCUUUUUUCAGCUGUGUCUCCCGUUCGAAAUCGUAUCUGCGCGCUUCGUGGUGGUGGCGGCGGUGUUGGCCGUUGUGCUUUCCCAGGGGGACACUACAUGGACCCCUCUGCUUCCGGAGCCAUCACCCUCCUCCGUCGAACAGCAACCACACACGAGCACACCCACACGCUCUCAUCUUCCUCUCGCCUACCGGACAUGCACGCACAGGCUGCCUAUCACAGCAAUUGGUGAAGGGGUGGGGGCGCUGUGGUUGUCUCUCCUGUGCGCGCGUCUUCGGCUGUGCUCGGGUGUGUGUCUUGCGCCUCUUUCUUGAUUUCUCAGCCCUUCUAUCUUUCCCUCUCCUUACGCUUUCCUUGUGUCUGUUUUCGCUUCCCGUGCUGCAGCGGCUGGUUGUUGCUGUUGUCGUAUUGUGUUGCUUCUAUCGGCUUUCCCCGUCUUUCCUCCCCCACCGCUGCCGCCGAUAUUGGCGAGCGCGCAUGUAGACUUCACCCACGACUCCCUCUUCCCAUCCCUCGCUUCUUGUCAUGCGUCUCGUGUCUUGGUCCUCGUCCUUUGCAGCCCAGUCGUCCACAGAGAGGAAGGGCGAGAGAAGGAGAGAGCGCCACUGACGAGAGAGAGAGCGAGAGCCCAAAGAAUAGGGUAAAGGAAGAGCGAGAAGGAGGGAUGGAGUGCGAGGGACACGUCGCUCUUCUGAAAGGACAGAAGGCAAGCUUUUAUGCGCCAAGAACUUGCUUACAGAUGUGCUUGCAUGUGCGUUGUGUGUGUGUGUGUGUCUGCACGCCUGCCUGCGCUCACUGCACAUCUUCAGCGUCUGCGCACUUAUUUGUUGUGCCUUUUCGUUGGCGCGCUUCUCUUUCCUUCUCCAUCCUCCCACCCUUCUCCUUUCGCGCUCCUCUCGAUGCCUCCCGUCGCGGAGUUGUGCGGUUGCUCAUCUUGAUCUGCAUGCAGCGCCUCUCCCCCGCACUCGUUUCCCUUUCUGUGUGUGUGUGUGUGUGUAUGCGUCUGCAAAUGCGGAAUGGGGGAGGAGGCGGCUGCGGUGGUCGUCAGGAUUGUGAUGAGGGACACGAGGGGAGGGGAGGGGAGGGCACGCACGCUGCAGAUGCUCUCGUCCGCUCUUUUUCCUUCGUCUCUUUUUCUCCUUCUUCUUUGUGCGUGGGUGCGCGUUUUGUUAUCUGUUGCCGCUGUUUCUCAGCCGUCUUCAUUCUCCGCUCUUCCCCCUCAUCCCCUUCUUAACGUGGUUCAAUUUUUUAACUGCCGUUUUUGUUUUGUUUUCGUCUCUGUGUGCACGUGUGCGUGCGUCUCCACCGUCCAGCAUUCCUCAGCGUCCUUGCGCGCACACCUGCGCCUCUGUCUCAUCUCUCAUCUCCCUCGUCUCGGUUUCUCACGCUCGCGUGUGCGGAUGCUCUUUUCAUACUUGCCAUUGUUCGCCUCCACUUGCGUACGCGCCCGCGUGAGUGUGCGCUCCUUCCGUUUCCCCUCCCCGCCCCAUCUUUGUUGCUCCAUCGAGCCCGCUCUUACUCACCACCGCCACGCGCUAUUUCUUCUUUCAUCCACCGUGUCCAUCCAGCAGCAUUCCCUCCCUGUCUCUGCAACCCCUCUUUCUUUUCCGUUUCGCUCAUCACCUUUACCGACACGCGUGCAUGCUGCAUCGACGUACACCCGUGCGUCUGCGCCUGGGGGGGGGCAUGUGGGGCGUGCGGAGGAAACCGUCCCCCAACAAGCCGCGCCACUACACCAACAUACGUCCUACUCAUUUAAUGUUAGAAACGAAAAAGAGAGAACAACGGAGCCCGGCACACUGGGACUGUAUGACGAUGGUGCGUCGCCCUCUCAGCCUUCUCUGGAACAACUGGCUUGCCGCCAUCUUGCAUCUCUGCAGACUGCGCGCACUCUCGGCAUCC
rnacentral:misc_RNA from 1 species